UUUCGCAAUGCCCGAAAGGGUGACGAAGCGACGCCGCGUGUGGGAAGAAGGCCUUCGGGUUGUAAACCGCUGUUGGGAGUUAGGAAGUGUGGGAGUGUUAAUAGCGCUUCCACUUGACUAAAGCUCCAGAGGAAGCCACGGCUAACUCUGUGCCAGCAGCCGCGGUAAUACAGAGGCGGCAAGCGUUGUUCGGAAUUAUUGGGCGUAAAGAGCACGUAGGCGGCUCUGCAAGUCAGCUGUGAAAGCCUUCUGCUUAACGGAAGAACAGCAGUUGAAACUACAGGGCUUGAGUGCGGGAGGGGAGAGUGGAACUUCUGGUGGAGCGGUGAAAUGCGUAGAUAUCAGAAGGAACGCCGGCGGCGAAAGCGGCUCUCUGGUCCGUAACUGACGCUGAGUGUGCGAAAGCUAGGGGAGCAAACGGGAUUAGAUACCCCGGUAGUCCUAGCCGUAAACGAUGGGCACGAAGUAGAGGGGUUUU
rnacentral:rRNA from 1 species